rnacentral:SRP_RNA from 1 species
GCCAGGCGUGGUGGCGGACGCCUGUAAUCCCAGCUACUCAGGAGGCUGAGGCAGGAGAAUUGCUUGAACCCAGGAGGCGGAGCUUAUAGUGAGCUGAGAUUUCGCCACUGCAUUCCAGCCUGGGAGACAGAGCAAGACUCUGUCUUUU